CCCUUCUAAGCGCGCGCAUAGAGUCGCAUGUCCCUUUUUCUCGUUGAGUGCGAGCCAUUUAUUACAAAUAAAUUGGUAAUAAAAACACUAUAAAAUACGGGCGUAAAGUCUGGGGAUAAUUGAUGAUAAACUAGAUACCGAUGCGGGGGAAAAACUGACAGUAUUAAUCACACGAAAGCUAAGAAAAAUAACUGUCAAUAUAUCUGCACGUGCGUCGUUCAGCAGGCUAUUUGAGUUGCCCAUGUAAAAGAGUGCUCAUGAGGUCACUAAAAGCUUUUUUUCCGUCAAUCAAUUUGAAUCAAUUUCAUCUGGGGUUUGGAAAGAGAGAAUAGUAGACUGUCAAUCAUACAUUCAUAUACUCGGAAACACGCACAGUAAAGAGGGCAUAAAAAAGGUGUUAUUGGCAAAUGUUGAAAUUUUUAUGGUUUCACAAAGAGAUUUAAUCGGCGUAUUAAUUGGCUAGCGAUAACAGAGGAACCGGGUGUACACCACCAAUUGCAUUUCGAGGGCGGAGUUUACCUUUCGCACGCUCGGCUCGGCCAGCGGACUCCAGUGGCAGCGAGAGAUUGCCCUCCUUCUUCACGUCACACCGCAAAACGGUAGCUUAUGCCAUGAGCGAUACUGUGUAUGCUGCAUGAACGCACAUUAUCAAAAUUUCAAUUGAGCAUUCAUACAUGUGUAUUAUAACAGUGCGGAGACUUAUGUGAUCAUUCCGUAGCAGACGUCGUUUGAUAUAUAAAACUUGACUUUCCUUUUUCGGAUAUCUAACAAUGUGAGGCUUCUUCUGAUUGACUGAUUAUCAAGAGGACCAAUUGAAAUGAUUGUCUGGAUAACUUUACUGUUGCUUCCCUUGGCUAUAUCGCAAGAUCCUCAGUGCUGUCAUCGGGUUAGGAGUCAUCCAUCAUGCCAGCAGACAUGUGAUCAGAUGGUGCUUGAAUCUACCACAGCAGGCAGGAGAAAGCACAUGGGUACCCUGCUAAAUGCUUGUCCUUCAACACUGGUAAGAAAAAGAAAAACCUUAUAUUG